UUGAGUAAGCACAUUACCACUUCCUCUGGAGGAGUUGGUUGCUGUUCCAGUGGUAUUGCAGUCACUAAAUGUCACAGUGGGUCCAUCAGAGUAUAACUCCGCAAGCUCAUCUUUUUACGGUCUCUGACUCAGCUUUGUGAAUUGCUGGUGUCCCUUUUUGAACGCAGUAGGAAAUUCAGCUGUAUAGUAAAGGACAGGAAUCCACCGGAGAGACCCCGCGUGCACAGCGCCCAAUUAAUCGGUGGCAGCAGGUUCCUGUCAAGGCCAGGGCAGCUCAUACAACUGCUGUGCCUGCUGCCCAGACACCCCUCAGGAACAGGUAUGCAGCCCUGACCCCAUGGAGGAGGAGGCAGAAGAACAGGUCCACAGAGAAAUUGAAGCCGCUUGACCUACAUCACUGGCUCAGAAGAGGCACAUCCCGAGAAGGAGACACAAAGUUCUGGUCUUUGGGGACUCCAUCCUGAGGGGAACCGAUGGUCCAAUCUGUCACUUGGAGCCCUGGUCACAGCAGGUCUGCUGCAUGCCUGGCAAGGAUUUGCAAUGUCACAGAGACAAUCCCUAAAAUCAUAAAGCCCUUUGACUACUACCCACUGGUUGUGGUCCAUGUGAGUACAAAUGAUGCAUGUAAGGGCAAGCCGGAUAACACCAAGGCCUUGGGACACCAACUGAAGAAGGCAGGAGCCCAGGUGGUAUUUUCCUCCAUUCUCCCAAGAGCAAUGACACAUCAUGUACCAGGACAGAUAUGAAUACUGACAUCAGUGGAGAGAGAUCUUUGUUCAUCUGCUCUGAAAACAAGUAUCUUUUUUUUUUAUCCUAUUGCUGGAAAAACAAUUCUGUGCUCCAUUACAUCCAUAGUAUAUGAGGGAAUGGAUUUGGCUUGGAAGUCAAAACCAAGUUUCCACAUGUUGCUCCAAAAGUUGAAAAGACAGAAUAAGUUAAGAGUCCAUCCCAAGUCUAUGCAUGAAUCCCAAAUGGUUUAUCUAUGGUUUCAAUCCCAGAUGUCUGGAGCCUGUCUGGCAAAACUGAGUUGUCACCAGGAUGAAAGAACUGGUAAGGGGAAUGGUUAAUUUCGUUCUCCCUCCAACCCCGACUUAAGGAACAGAAUGAAAAAUAAGUAUAUUAAGGCUUUGUUUUCUCUGAAUGUUAUUCUUCUUUUCUCUGAAGACAAAAAAACACUGCACUCUCAUUCUUUUUUGUAGGAAUAAAGGCCGGACUUUGGGUUCCAGCUCAAAAAUGUCACCCUUUUUCCUUAGUAUUUCAGAAUACUUAUUUUAUCCCUCAUGAUUAUUUCAUUCUAUUGCUGAAAGUGACAGAGCUCAAAGUUGGAAAAAUCUUUUUCAUUAACAUUUUUAUUUUAUGUAAGGUGUUUCACCUGGGGGGAAACAACCCGCAACAUGCUUACAGGCUCGGCAGUACUACACUUACUAGCACCAUAAUAAAAGAGACCUGGGGGUCUUGAUAGACCACAGAACACACAUGAGCCACCAAUGUGAUGCCAUAGCCAGCAAAGCGAACAAAACACUGGCAUGCAUCUACCAAUGCAUCUCAAACAAGACUAAGGAUGUCAUCCUCCCACUUUAUACAGCCUUGGUGAGACCACAGCUGGAGUACUGCAUCCAGUCUGGCCACCGCACUUGAGGAAGGAUGUGAAAAGGCUUGAGAGAGUCCAAAGGAGGGCUACACGUAUGGUUAGAGGUAUGGAGACUAGGCUAUAGGAUGAGGGGCAUGGACAUGGGUCUGUUCAGCCUGAAGAAGAGAAGACUCAGAGGGGACCUGGUGGCAGCCUAUAAGUAUAUAAGAGGCAAACAUCAUGGACUGUGAAAACCAUUCACCAGGGCUCCCCAGGGGACAAUUAGGACUAAUGGUCAUAAAUUGCCAGAAGACCAUUUUAGAUUAGAAAUAAGGAAAAAGUUCUUUACAACUUGAGUGUCCAGGGUCUGGAAUAGAGUCCCCCCAGAAGUGGUACAAUCACCUACUCUGGCUAUCUUCAAAAAGUUUGGAUGCUCACCUUGUUGGGGUCAUCUGACCCCAACAGUCUUUCCUGCCCAAGCACAGGAGGGCUGGAUCUGAUGAUCUUGAGAUGUCCCUUCCAGCCCCUAAUAUCUAUGAAUCUAUGAAUGCCACUUAGUUGUUAUUUUGUUGGACUGUGCUCUCCUAAAGAUUGUAAGUGUGGCAUUUUUCACUCUAGCAUCCAGCUAAAUUGUUAGCAAAAUUUUAAAAUAUAAAAGAGAAAGGUGAGACUGGGAUGUUUUUACAUAACCUCUGCAAGAUUAAAUAUUUUUAUGGCCCUUUUCCUGCUUAAAAAAAAAUUUAAAUCCAAUUUGAAGUUUGUUUUUUUUUAUUAGUGUUAAUGCAUGAAGAUGGUUGCUGUCACCAUUUUAAGACAGCUCUCUAUGCGGUCCAAACUGGUAUGAUGUUCAUUCAGUUUUGCUUUUACUAUUUUGGACUUUGGCAGCCUGGAGGUCACAUUCAGUAUCAAGCAAUACAGAAGAGAUAUCUAUAUUGUUCAUAAUGCUAAGCAAUGGUCCUUUUUGCAUGCUGUAUUAUGUAUUCCUUAACAUAGUGUAGUGAGGGUGGUCGCAGAGAAGAUAUAUAUGACAUUAGAGACUGUUCAUGUUUUAAGAAUUCUACGACUUGACAUCAAGUUUAUUUUUUAAAUAUUAUUAGAAUCAAAAUAGAUGUUACCCAAAAUUAGGGGUUGAUCCAAAGGCUUUGUUAUAAUUUGGAACAUUUUUCAUUGACUUCAUUGGUCUAUGGAGUAAGCAUUAGGUGGCCAUGUAAAUUAGAGAUAGGACGUAAGUUUGAUAUACACCUGACAGGAAUCUGCAUUUUGCUUAUGGAAUAUUAUGUAUGACUUAUUUACUUGUUUCAUCUUGUGUUUUUUGUUACUUGAGCUCCUGGGGUUUUCUUUUCUACAUACAUUUACUGGAGGGAGGACUAUGAUAAAUGGACUAAUUUCCAUACUAUGUACCUGUAUCUGGCACAGGAGACAGAUUACCUGAUGAGGCUAAUCAAGGGAGCCAUCUAACAGAGAGGUCUGGAAAAAGGAAGGUUCUUUUAACUGUAAUUUUAUAGAGUGGUAGAACACUAAAUGCACAGGUCAAGAGACUUGAAGUUCUGUGUGAAGUGAAAAAAGAAAUAAAUUAAGUCUUUACAUGA